ACAAGCGGCGGAGCAUGCGGAUUAAUCGAUGCAACGCGAAGAACCUUACCAAGGCUUGACAUACACCGGUAACGCCCAGAGAUGGGUGCCCCUUUGUGGUCGGUGGACAGGUGGUGCAUGGUUGUCGUCAGCUCGUGUCGUGAGAUGUUGGGUUAAGUCCCGCAACGAGCGCAACCCUCGUCCUAUGUUGCCAGCGGGUCAUGCCGGGGACUCAUGGGAGACUGCCGGGGUCAACUCGGAGGAAGUGGGGAUGACGUCAAAUCAUCAUGCCCCUUAUGUCUUGGGCUUCACGCAUGCUACAAUGGCCGGUACAAAGGGCUGCGAUACCGCGAGGUGGAGCGAAUCCCAGAAAGCCGGUCUCAGUUCGGAUUGGGGUCUGCAACUCGACCCCAUGAAGUCGGAGUCGCUAGUAAUCGCAGAUCAGCAACGCUGCGGUGAAUACGUUCCCGGGCCUU
rnacentral:rRNA from 1 species